GACAGAGGUCCCAAGCGUUAGGCGGAAUCACUGGGCUUAAAGCGUGUGUAGGCGGAUUUGUAAGUACCUUGUGAAAUCCCACGGCUCAACCGUGGAACUGCUUGGUAUACUGCGUAUCUUGGGUCAUCUAGGGGCGAGCGGAACAAACGGUGGAGCGGUGAAAUGCGUAGAUAUCGUUUGGAACGCCAAUGGUGAAAACAGCUCGCUGGGGAUGUACCGACGCUGAGACACGAAAGCCAGGGGAGCGAACGGG
rnacentral:rRNA from 1 species